rnacentral:rRNA from 1 species
UACAGAGGGUGCAAGCGUUACUCGGAAUUACUGGGCGUAAAGCGUGCGUAGACGGUAGCGUAAGUCGGGUGUGAAAGCCCCGGGCUCAACCUGGGAAUGGCAUUCGAGACUGCUCUGCUAGGGUGCGGAAGAGGGGAGCGGAAUUUCCGGUGUAGCGGUGAAAUGCGUAGAUAUCGAGAGGAACACCUGAGGUGAAGACGGGUUGCUGGGCUGACACUGACGCUGAUGCGCGAAAGCCAGGGUAGCAAACGGG